AUUGAACGCUGGCGGAAUGCUUUACACAUGCAAGUCGAACGGCAGCACGGACUUCGGUCUGGUGGCGAGUGGCGAACGGGUGAGUAAUACAUCGGAACGUGCCCGGACGUGGGGGAUAACCCUCCGAAAGGGGGGCUAAUACCGCAUGAGCCCGAGAGGGGAAGACGGUGAGUCGCUGCGGGAGGGGCCUGCGUCCGAUUAGCUGGUUGGUGGGGUAAGAGCCCACCAAGGCGACGAUCGGUAGCCGGUCUGAGAGGACGGACGGCCACACUGGGACUGAGAUACGGCCCAGACUCCUACGGGAGGCAGCAGUGGGGAAUUUUGGGCAAUGGGCGAAAGCCUGACCCAGCAACGCCGCGUGGAGGAAGAAGGCCUUCGGGUUGUAAACUCCUGUCCCGAGGGACGAAGUAGGUGACGGUACCUUGGGAGGAAGCCCGGCGUAACUCCGUG
rnacentral:rRNA from 1 species